UACACGUAACGCCCACCCGAUGCGACGGAAAAGACACAACGCUGAAAAAAGUUUUCACUUCGCGUUUUUCGAUCAUCACAUUCUAAACGACGACGUGCAUGUGAGAUUUUAUUGUUGUGCGUUUUACUGUAAUUUUGAAUGAUUUUAAGUUUUAACUUUAUUCACUUAUGUCCUGGAGAACGCGGCACUCUCUUAAAAGCAGCACCCACUCGACAUGACCGAGGAAACGUGUUCGCUUCGCUGUUUUCAUUCAUCAAAUUCGAAACGAAGACGAAGAACUUGGAAACUUGGACGUGGAGGGGCUCCAGCACACCCCACACCCCUUCAGGGUAAGCGGAUCAGAAAAUGGAUAGAUGGAUGGAUUACAAAGUGGUGGAAAACAAUGGUAUUGAACGUUUUGAAGGACUUCUUAAAAUUCUAAAAUCAAACUAAAAUGUUUCUCCUUGGUUGUGUUGAGAAGCUUUUUACACAGCUUUUAUCAUUUCCCUUUUUUCCACAUCAACUCCAACCUCAGAAAAAUAUUUCUUCACACAUAAAGUUAGUUUUAUUUGUAAAAAAACACGACUGUGUUUUCAAGUGUAAACAGUAUUGUAUUGUUCGUGUGCGUGUUAGAUACUCCAGGUAUGUUAACGCAGGUCAACAGCAAGCCAAACUCAUUUAUUCAUGAGCUAGGAAACUGAGCGUCUUGCUCCUUAUUGCGGUCUUCUUGACGGAGUACAGUGAACAACUGUGUUAUCAGCUCAAUGAAAUGUAGAGUUAUACUGAAAUGAAUAGAUUUAAAACAUGCAUGAACAUCCAUUAAAUAAAUACAAUACAAUUCGUCUGGUGUUAAGCAAAAGACAUAAAUGCAGCUCAAAGUGUGACAAACAAUGAUAAACAAUGCGUUUUCGCAAUACGUUCGCAUGCUAAUUAGCUUGUUAGCACCGAUUUAGUAUCGUCAUUACGUCGUUAGCAGUACUCUGAGCUAGCGAGUUUCAAUGACAACAAUUGAGGGAAAACGAUCUCCGAAACACAUUUCUAAAUAAUUCUAAACACGAGCAGACUUGCAGCCAUUGCUUUCGAAGGUGAAACGAAAGAAUAUAACUCAGGAGGACCAGUUGCAAGUGACUUGCAACGACCACGGUCAGGCUUUCUGUAACGACUCGUCUGAUGAAACACGGCGUCUACUACCCACAAUGCGCCGCGAUAACUAAAUGAAUAUUCCAAACACAAUGACCCGAAACUUUACUGUAGGCAGAACAAGUAUCAUUGUUGACCACUGUACCAUGACGCACAAUUUGAAUAUUAACUGCGCUUACAGUACACCUGGCCCAUAUGUGCUCACCGACUGCUGUAUGUGUCCAUACGACAAUACGAUGAAGGUCAGAUGACGACAUGAUAGCUGUAAUUAGUUGUAAAAAAAGAAAAAAGAUAAUCACCCCCCCCCCCCCACACACACACACAUGCUGAAACGCAAAUCAUGCCCACAAAGAAGGACAGUCACUGGAUGUGUGCUAGUUUUUUGUUUUUGUUUUUUAAAGCCCCUUCGGUCCUUGUGAGGACAAAGCGGUUCAGAUAAUGGAUGGAUGUAUUUAAUGAGCCACGUGUGCACUGUGCUGCUUGGCAACCUGGUCAUCUCUCAAUUAUCAGCAUGUCCUAAUGAAGCAUUCAGUUAUGAGAUGAGAUUUAACCGCUCUCAUGAAAAAGUGAAUGUAAAACCACGCGCUCCUUGUAAGUAAGUAACCUGGCGAUAUUAACUGCGCACACACGUCACUGGCGAUGACUUCGAUUCGUGACCAGGUCGAUUCGUGACUAGUCAACUUCACAAUCAAUGUAUGCCAUGUUUUCCAAAUGGAUUUCUUAUGGAAUUGAUGUUUCAUGAAAACUCCACAAUCGGAACAUUUUACUUUCAUGUGGGUGACUACGGUUGAUCUCUUCAUCUGGGCAAAGUCCUGCUUUCUCUAAGUAGUUUACGAGCUGCAGUAGCUGAACCUCGAACGACAUUACUUACGCGUUAAAGCGACUGAAAUUAUGAAAUUGUUACAAUGUAGUCUUUUUGCGCACAUCUCCGUCUUUGUCAAGGUGAACUUUUCGCUUCUGGUGGAUGAAACAUCCAGUCUCCUUUGACAAGCUUCCACAAAUUUUACAGCCCGCAUGGGUGAUGUGAAUCUUUCAGGAUCAAGUGGCGGUCCACCUCAGGGGUGACAUCACAGCCUGAAACGAUAAAAAACGUGUGAACCCAUUGCCGCAAAGUUCAUCCAAAAGUGAUCUUGGUCUGGCUCGAAGCGCUCUGACAUCAAACAUCAAACGAGCGCGGAACUUGGAAAGCAUGCUGGCAUUUUCAUUCGCGAGUAUUUUCAGAGCUUCUUGCGAAGGAUCUCAUAUCAUGCCAUUGGACACAUUUGCCACUUACGUGAAACCUUUUCUUCAGGCUGCCUGGAAAGCCGACACAUUGCCACCAUUUGCAGCGUCACUUUUAUGUACGAACAGCAUUGGUACUUCACAAGGGCAGACACAGAAAUCGAUCCAGCAAUUUUCGGUCCGAGGAGGUCGUGGAGAGCCCCUUUUACACCGACUCAAGUCUCCAUCCCGGUGGAAACCACUCGCAAAACAACAAUAGAAACCAAUAUCUUCCACAUUUGGGGUCUUUUGAAAUAUCAGCCGGUCUCCAACGUCACACAAGAAAACAAAAAUGAAAAUUCGAGCAGAUCAUUUUAAUCAGAGUAUAAAAAAAGUUGACAAUUAACAGUUGAAGUAAAAUGAAAGGAAAUAUUUUAAAAGAUACAUUUGCAAGAAGGCGAUUUGGCUCAUAAUCAGUUCUAAACUAUUGUAUGUGGGGGGUAGAGGGAAAAAAUGACCAAGACCUCCAACAGAUUUUAUUCACUCUUUCACAUUGUUGAGGAAAACUUAAAAAUCUCGUCAGGUUUGCUUUGGUAAACCUCCAGUGAAAAAACACAACCUUUGAAUUCAGUCUCAAGUGUCGAGCUGAAAGCAGUGUGAGGUCAUGUGACCGCUAUCCAUUUCUAAAGAGUUGUGUUGGCGACUUUGUUGUCACACAGACCAUAAAACAGCGGAAUGUAUUAAAGUACUUUGGUGUUUUUGAUUUGCUAUUAAACAAACACACCCUCUCCAUUGCCGACUGGAAGAAAAAGAAAAGUGCCUCUGUGUGUGUGUGUGUGUG